GAGAGCUCUGCAUAGAGCAGCUGUACAAGAACACCAGUGCAUGGGAGGAAGGAGAAUGCGGCACCCAGCAUCACACGGACUUUUGUGUUGGUGGAGAUGAGAGGCCAAGUGAGGUGGAAUCUGGGGCUGACUGCUGGAGCCAGGGGACACCUGCCACCGAUUCCAAUGACUCCAGCCAUGCUUCUCAGGGACUGCCAGCAUCCAGCAGACCUGUGCCAAGGCUAGCUUCUUUGUCUGCACUGAUGUUGAGCGGGAUGGAAGAGAGGAAGGGAGAUUUAGAGCCUCAUUCAGCACAGAGUCUUCUGCAGCACCAGCACCUUAUGGCUUCCAGGCUGCAAACCAUGGGCUUCUGCAGUUCCCGGGGAAGCCUGACCCAGCCUCACUGCCUGAGGAAUGAUUGCACCAGCCAUGAAGAGGGGCUUGGAAGCAAGACAGCAAGUCAGUUUUUUAAACAGUGUUUUCUUCUACAAAGAGAAACUUGAGUCAAAAUAAAAGUUGAGAAAUACUGUAGCUAGAAAAUAAAUUUCAAAGAUCUGUUUAAAGUUAACUUAAAAAAUGAAUUGUGUGGAAUCUGGUGUUCAAGAGGCAUUAAUGAUUUAAGGAGAGUGAUAUGUAACUUCCCGUAGCUUCUGUUUGUGGGCAAUUAUUUUUAUAUUGUGUUGGUAGAAAUAUAAUGUAAUGGUACAACCCUCUGCAUAGUGACCUGUACAACCCCUUACAUGUGACCUACUUGGAAAGGGUUUUUAAAAUUCAUUACAUAGUUCAUAUCAUAUCUUUGAUUUGUUUAUCAGGAUUUACAUUGAGCACUAAUUGUAAAGGGAAAAACAACUUUUAGGCAAGAAAAAUCACUACUAAAUUUUUUUCAGCUUUUACAGGAAUCUGAAUGCUGUACAACCAUUUCAGGCACUGGUUAAUAAAAAUAAGAAUGUUGAAAUGCUCUUCACAUAGAGCUAAGUAAAAUAUAGAGCACAUAUUGAUA